UACAGAGGUGGCAAGCGUUGUUCGGAAUUACUGGGGCGUAAAAGGGCGCGUAGGCGGCCUACUAAGUCAGACGUGAAAUCCCCCGGCUUAACCUGGGAAACUGCGUCUGAUACUGGAAGGCUUGAGGAUGGGAGAGGGAGUGUAGAAAUUCCAGGUGUAGCGGUGAAAUGCGUAGAUAUCUGGAGGAAUACCGGUGGCGAAGGCGGCAUCCUGGACCAUUACUGACGCUGAGGCGCGAAAGCUAGGGGAGCAAACGGGGAUUAAGAA
rnacentral:rRNA from 1 species